CUACGGGUUGCUGCAGUAAGGAAUAUUGGUCAAUGGACGAAAGUCUGAACCAGCCAUGCCGCGUGAAGGAUGACGGCCCUAUGGGUUGUAAACUUCUUUUAUAUGGGAAGAAACCCCUCUACGUGUAGAGGGCUGACGGUACCAUACGAAUAAGCAUCGGCUAACUCCGUGCCAGCAGCCGCGGUAAUACGGAGGAUGCAAGCGUUAUCCGGAUUUAUUGGGUUUAAAGGGUGCGCAGGCGGAAAGAUAAGUCAGUGGUGAAAUCCUACGGCCUAACUGUAGAACUGCCAUUGAUACUGUCUUUCUUGAGUACAGUUGAAGUGGGCGGAAUGUGUCAUGUAGCGGUGAAAUGCAUAGAUAUGACACAGAACACCGAUAGCGAAGGCAGCUCACUAAACUGAAACUGACGCUCAUGCACGAAAGCGUGGGAAGCAAACAGGAUUAGAUACCCCGGUAGUC
rnacentral:rRNA from 1 species